AGGACGAACGCUGGCGGCGUGCUUAACACAUGCAAGUCGAGCGGUAAGGCCUUUCGGGGUACACGAGCGGCGAACGGGUGAGUAACACGUGGGUGAUCUGCCCUGCACUCUGGGAUAAGCCUGGGAAACUGGGUCUAAUACCGGAUAUGACCUGCUCUCGCAUGGGGGUGGGUGGAAAGAUUUAUCGGUGCAGGAUGGGCCCGCGGCCUAUCAGCUUGUUGGUGGGGUAAUGGGCCUACCAAGGCGACGACGGGUAGCCGACCUGAGAGGGUGACCGGCCACACUGGGACUGAGACACGGCCCAGACUCCUACGGGAGGCAGCAGUGGGAAUAUUGCACAAUGGGCGAAAGCCUGAUGCAGCGACGCCGCGUGAGGAUGAAGGCCUUCGGUUGUAAACCUCUUCAGCAGGACGAAGACGCAAGUGACGGUACCUGCAGAAGAAGACACCGGACUAACGUAACGUGACCAGCAAGCCGC
rnacentral:rRNA from 1 species